GACGAACGCUGGCGGCGUGCUUAACACAUGCAAGUCGAACGAUGAAGCCUAGCUUGCUAGGUGGAUUAGUGGCGAACGGGUGAGUAAUACGUGAGUGACCUACCUUUGACUCUGGGAUAAGCCUGGGAAACUGGGUCUAAUACCGGAUACGACCAAUCUCCGCAUGGGGUGUUGGUGGAAAGCGUUAUGGAGUGGUUUUAGAUGGGCUCACGGCCUAUCAGCUUGUUGGUGAGGUAAUGGCUUACCAAGGCGACGACGGGUAGCCGGCCUGAGAGGGUGACCGGCCACACUGGGACUGAGACACGGCCCAGACUCCUACGGGAGGCAGCAGUGGGGAAUAUUGCACAAUGGGCGCAAGCCUGAUGCAGCGACGCCGCGUGAGGGAUGACGGCCUUCGGGUUGUAAACCUCUGUUGGCAUCGAAGAAGCGAAAGUGACGGUAGGUGCAGAGAAAGCGCCGGCUAACUACGUGCCAGCAGCCGCGGUAAUACGUAGGGCGCGAGCGUUGUCCGGAAUUAUUGGGCGUAAAGAGCUUGUAGGCGGUUGGUCGCGUCUGCUGUGAAGGCUGGGGCUUAACCCUGGUUUUGCAGUGGGUACGGGCUAACUAGAGUGCAGUAGGGGAGACUGGAAUUCCUGGUGUAGCGGUGGAAUGCGCAGAUAUCAGGAGGAACACCGAUGGCGAAGGCAGGUCUCUGGGCUGUAACUGACGCUGAGAAGCGAAAGCAUGGGGAGCGAACAGGAUUAGAUACCCUGGUAGUCCAUGCCGUAAACGUUGGGCACUAGGUGUGGGGGACAUUCCACGUUUUCCGCGCCGUAGCUAACGCAUUAGGUGCCCCGCCUGGGGAGUACGGCCGCAAGGCUAAAACUCAAAGAAAUUGACGGGGGCCCGCACAAGCGGCGGAGCAUGCGGAUUAAUUCGAUGCAACGCGAAGAACCUUACCAAGGCUUGACAUAUACUGGACUGCGUCAGAGAUGGCGUUUCCCUUCGGGGCUGGUAUACAGGUGGUGCAUGGUUGUCGUCAGCUCGUGUCGUGAGAUGUUGGGUUAAGUCCCGCAACGAGCGCAACCCUCGUUCUAUGUUGCCAGCACGUGAUGGUGGGGACUCAUAGGAGACUGCCGGGGUUAACUCGGAGGAAGGUGGGGAUGACGUCAAAUCAUCAUGCCCCUUAUGUCUUGGGCUUCACGCAUGCUACAAUGGCCGGUACAGAGGGUUGCGAUACUGUGAGGUGGAGCUAAUCCCUAAAAGCCGGUCUCAGUUCGGAUUGGGGUCUGCAACUCGACCCCAUGAAGUCGGAGUCGCUAGUAAUCGCAGAUCAGCAACGCUGCGGUGAAUACGUUCCCAGGCCU
rnacentral:rRNA from 1 species